rnacentral:rRNA from 1 species
GAUGAACGCUAGCGGCAGGCUUAAUACAUGCAAGUCGAGGGGCAGCGCAGUGUAGCAAUACAUGGGCGGCGACCGGCAAACGGGUGCGGAACACGUACACAACCUUCCUACAAGUGGAGAAUAGCCCAGAGAAAUUUGGAUUAAUACCCCGUAACAUAGCGAUGUGGCAUCACAUUGCUAUUAUAGCUUCGGCGCUUGUUGAUGGGUGUGCGGCUGAUUAGAUAGUUGGCGGGGUAACGGCCCACCAAGUCUACGAUCAGUAGCUGAUGUGAGAGCAUGAUCAGCCACACGGGCACUGAGACACGGGCCCGACUCCUACGGGAGGCAGCAGUAAGGAAUAUUGGACAAUGGACGCAAGUCUGAUCCAGCCAUGCCGCGUGAAGGAUUAAGGUCCUCUGGAUUGUAAACUUCUUUUAUAAGGGACGAAAAAAGGUCUUUCUAGAUCGUCUGACGGUACCUUAUGAAUAAGCACCGGCUAACUCCGUGCCAGCCGCCGCUGUAAAAC